GGGGGCACAGUGGAGGCCCGAACACAACAAGAGCUUCCAGCUCCAGCAGCCUCCUGUCCUCCAGAGAGAGAGCCAGCAGACCUGCCAGCUCUGCAGCCAGCUGACUUGUCCUUCCAGUCUCAGUGCAGGGUGAAG